CCGGUGACGGAUGGGCAUGCGUGACAUUAGCUAGUCGGCGGGGUAACGGCCCACCGAGGCGACGAUGUCUAGGGGUUCUGAGAGGAAGGUCCCCCACACUGGUACUGAGACACGGACCAGACUCCUACGGGAGGCAGCAGUGAGGAAUAUUGGUCAAUGGGCUUACGCCUGAACCAGCCAAGUCGCGUGAGGGAAGACUGCCCUAUGGGUUGUAAACCUCUUUUGUCAGGGAGCAACGCCGGCUACGUGUAGCCGGACUGAGAGUACCUGAAGAAAAAGCAUCGGCUAACUCCGUGCCAGCAGCCGCGGUAAUACGGAGGAUGCGAGCGUUAUCCGGAUUUAUUGGGUUUAAAGGGUGCGUAGGCGGAAUGCCAAGUCAGCGGUAAAAUCGCGGGGCUCAACCUCGCUCCGCCGUUGAAACUGGCGUUCUUGAGUGGGCGAGAAGUAUGCGGAAUGCGUGGUGUAGCGGUGAAAUGCAUAGAUAUCACGCAGAACUCCGAUUGCGAAGGCAGCAUACCGGCGCCCAACUGACGCUGAAGCACGAAAGCGUGGGUAUCGAACAGGAUUAGAUACCCUGGUAGUCCACGCAGUAAACGAUGAAUACUAGCUGUUCGGGGCAAAUGAGCCUUGAGUGGC
rnacentral:rRNA from 1 species